GCCCUUUUCUCCUUUAGGUCCUGGCAAUCCAGAGGGUCCUGGUUGGCCCUGAUGGCCCCUGUACCCUGGAAUUCCUGGUUCUCCAUCAGGUCCCAUCAAUCCUAAAUGUCCCACAGCACCUCUAGUUCCUCUGGCACCCUUAGGACCACUUUUCCCAAUUUUUCCAGGAGGACCUCUGCUUCCAACUUCUCCUGUGGGUCCUAU
rnacentral:misc_RNA from 1 species